AAAAAAAAAAAGAAAAGAAAAGAAAGAAAAUUCCUCUUGACAUACUGCUAAGUGAGGAAAGCAAACUUCUCUCGCAUCUCAGGCAAGGUAACUUCUGUGUAAGAAAGAAGAAUACACCUGUAUCUGCUCAUUUGUGCACAAACACAGGAAGGAUCAAGCAGAAAUUGGCACGUCUCUGAAUGAUACAAAUGGCAACCAGCUUUAGCAAACUGGAAAUGGGUUUGAAUUCCAAACCACUGGGAUCACAGCGACUGCGUCUGGAUUCUUUCCAGGAGGCUUCCAGGUGGGAAGAGAAACAGGGAAGAUUAAUUGGUACCCACUUGCCUGGUCCUUUGUAGACUGCUGCUGUAUCUCCUGAAAAGCGUAAGACCAAAGACAGGGUGAAGAAAUCCUAAACAAGGUAUCAAGGCCAGUGUCCAGGCUGCAUUCUGUUCACAGAACUGUCCUCAGGACAUUGCAUGGAGCUAGAAAUGUACAUAAUUACAGAAGAAAACAGGGAGGACUUGGUGCAGAAGAGACCAGUGUGGUCGGGCGACAGCAUCCUCAGUCUUUC